UCCGUACGGGGCAAGCGUUGUUCGGAUUUACUGGGCGUAAAGGGCGAGUAGGCGGCGCGUAAAGUCGGACAUGAAAUCAUUAGGCUCAACCUAAUGGCUGUGUCCGAUGCUUACGUGCUUGGAGUGCGGGAGAGGCAGCCGGAAUUCUCGGUGUAGCGGUGAAAUGCGUAGAUAUCGAGAGGAACACCGGUGACGAAGGUGGGUUGCUGGACCGACACUGACGCUGAGGCGCGAAAGCUAGGGGAGCAAACGGG
rnacentral:rRNA from 1 species